AAACUUUCAACAACGGAUCUCUUGGUUCUGGCAUCGAUGAAGAACGCAGCGAAAUGCGAUAAGUAAUGUGAAUUGCAGAAUUCCGUGAAUCAUCGAAUCUUUAAACGCACAUUGCGCCCCUCGGUAUUCCGGGGGGCAUGCUUGUUCGAGCGUCAUUA
rnacentral:rRNA from 1 species